rnacentral:rRNA from 1 species
UACAGAGGGUGCGAGCGUUGUCCGGAAUCACUGGGCGUAAAGGGUGCGUAGGCGGGUUAUUAAGUCAGAGGUGAAAUCCUGGAGCUCAACUCCAGAACUGCCUUUGAUACUGAUAGUCUUGAGUAUGGGAGAGGUGAGUGGAACUGCGAGUGUAGAGGUGAAAUUCGUAGAUAUUCGCAAGAACACCAGUGUCGAAGGCGGACUCACUGGCCCAUUACUGACGCUGAGGCACGAAAGCGUGGGGAGCAAACAGGG